AGAGUUUGAUCCUGGCUCAGGACGAACGCUGGCGGCGCGCCUAACACAUGCAAGUCGAACGGGGUGCGUUCGAAUGAAGUUUUCGGAUGGAAUUUGGAUGUACCUAGUGGCGAACGGGUGAGUAACACGUGAAUAACCUGCCCUGGAGUGGGGGACAACAGUUGGAAACGACUGCUAAUACCGCAUAAGCCCACAGAGCCGCAUGGCUCAGGGGGAAAAGGAGCAAUUCGCUUCAGGAUGGAUUCGCGUCCAAUUAGCUAGAUGGUGAGGUAACGGCCCACCAUGGCGACGAUUGGUAGCCGGAUUGAGAGGUUGAUCGGCCACAUUGGGACUGAGACACGGCCCAGACUCCUACGGGAGGCAGCAGUGGGGAAUAUUGCACAAUGGGGGAAACCCUGAUGCAGCGACGCCGCGUGGAGGAAGAAGGUCUUCGGAUUGUAAACUCCUGUCGUUGGGGACGAUAAUGACGGUACCCAACAAGAAAGCCACGGCUAACUACGUGCCAGCAGCCGCGGUAAAACGUAGGUGGCAAGCGUUGUCCGGAAUUACUGGGUGUAAAGGGAGCGCAGGCGGAAGGACAAGUUGGAAGUGAAACCCACGGGCUCAACCCGUGAACUGCUUUCAAAACUGUUUUUCUUGAGUGGUGUAGAGGUAGGCGGAAUUCCCGGUGUAGCGGUGGAAUGCGUAGAUAUCGGGAGGAACACCAGUGGCGAAGGCGGCCUACUGGGCACUAACUGACGCUGAGGCUCGAAAGCAUGGGUAGCAAACAGGAUUAGAUACCCUGGUAGUCCAUGCCGUAAACGAUGAUUACUAGGUGUGGGAGGAUUGACCCCUUCCGUGCCG
rnacentral:rRNA from 1 species